UACGAAGGUGGCUAGCGUUGUACGGAAUUACUGGGCGUAAAGCGCGCGUAGGCGGUGAGGCAAGUCGAAAGUGAAAUCCCGGGGCUUAACUCCGGAACUGCUUUCGAAACUACCUUGCUUGAAUGUGGCAGAGGAUGAUGGAAUUCCACGUAUAGAGGUGAAAUUCGUAGAUAUGUGGAGGAACACCAGUGGCGAAGGCGGUCAUCUGGGCCAACAUUGACGCUGAGGCGCGAAAGCGUGGGGAGCAAACAGG
rnacentral:rRNA from 1 species